rnacentral:tRNA from 1 species
GGAGAGGUGGCUGAGCGGUUGAAAGCGGGGGAUUGCUAAUCCUCUGUACUCCUAUUAGGGGUACCGCGGGUUCGAAUCCCGCCCUCUCCGCCA